rnacentral:rRNA from 1 species
CGGACGGGUGAGUAACACGUGGAUAACCUACCUAUAAGACUGGGAUAACUUCGGGAAACCGGAGCUAGUACCGGAUAAUAUAUUGAACCGCAUGGUUCAAUAGUGAAAGACGGUUUUGCUGUCACUUAUAGAUGGAUCCGCGCCGCAUUAGCUAGUUGGUAAGGUAACGGCUUACCAAGGCAACGAUGCGUAGCCGACCUGAGAGGGUGAUCGGCCACACUGGAACUGAGACACGGUCCAGACUCCUACGGGAGGCAGCAGCA